rnacentral:tRNA from 1 species
GCCCCGAUAGCUCAAUGGAUAGAGCAAAUCCUUCCCACGGAUGAGGUUGCGGGUUCGAAUCCCGCUCGGGGCA